GUUCAUGUGGCAUGAAAAGAUGACAGACUCAGGAGGGCCCCAGAGGCGCACACUUUGAUUUUUAUCUACUUUGCUUUCCCAGAAAGUUCCUGAGAAGUCAGACGCGGCGCUUCGUUGCGUAAUAUCGGGUCAGCCCAAGCCAGAGGUAACUUCGUAGAAGAAUGGUCAAACCAUGGAUGAGUGUGGCAUUGUCUCCAGUUGUGAAUUCUUUGAGAAUCAAUAUACUCAUCUAUUACAUCUCUACUGGUAGCACCUCUUCCCCCGUCCUUCCUGCGUUCUCCUCCUCAUACCACCCUAAUCUCGUACUUUGGGCAGAUGAGACUACUUGGAGAGAUUGAUCAGUGCUGUUGUGACCUUUCCAUUACCACAGGUCAAGUGUGCUUGGCAGACCAAAGACAUGGAAAGGCAAGAAAGCAUUCCAAGAGAGAGAAACAUCAAUGAUAACAGUAUGGUUUGCACUGUAGCCUGAAAUUUUUUGUUUUUUUUUUCCCCUAAAGACAUAGGGGUUGGGAGCAGGGGAAGAAAAUGCAAAUAUUGAUAGAUGUUUUCUACCUCAUAGUGAAAGCAAGUCACGAGGACGUGUAUACAAAUGGGGAACCGUGGUCUCUUGUGAACACAAUUAAAGACAGGCAGCAAAGCAACAGAUAAAAAUCUGUCCAGGAACCCACACCUAGAGAGAGAGACACUCCUCUCCGCAGCAAGGAGGCCUCUUUGGACGCUCACGGUAACGUCCAGCAGUGCUGAGAGUGAGCCCAGAUUACAAGUGAGGCAGAAAGGAGGGAGGCGAGGGCGGUGGCCAGGGCAGAAGCACCGAUAGGGUUAGAGGGAUGGGGAAGCAGCCCCUUUGGCUCUCUCGCCAGCUCAGCCCUGGCGUUGGCUGGGCUGGAGGCGGACCCUGCAGAGGCCUGGUGGGGACAGUGGCCCGGAGAACUGCACAGUCAUCACAAGCCAGUCUGCUCACGUGACUAUGGGUGGCACAGGGAGCCCCAAAUUCGUGUUCACCUGGAACCUCAGAAUGGGACCUCGUUUGGAAAUAAAGUCUUUGCAGACGUAAUUAUUUAAAUGAAGACAAGACCAUACUUAGAUUAAUAGGGGCCCUGACUGGUAUCCUUAUAAAGAGAGAAAACUGAAAACUGGUAUCCUUAUAAAGACGCAGAUGGGGGCUUCCCUGGUGGCGCAGUG